rnacentral:lncRNA from 1 species
CAAGUAUUUAUCAGCUCUUUAUGGUAAAAACAUUCAAAAUUCUUUCUUGUAAGGUUUUCUAAAAAUAAACUGUACAUUGGCCUUACCCUUAAGCACCUUACUGUGCAAUAGAACAACCAGAUCUUCUUACUCCUGUCUAAAUAUAACUUAGGAUCCAUUGUUCAACCUCUCCUCAUCCCUCUUUCCCUGUGGUACCCCAGCUUCUUAGUAACUGCCAUGCUACCCUCAAUGUCUAUGAGAUUAGCUAUUUAAAAUUCCACAUGUAAGUGAGAUCAUGUGGUACUUGUCCAUCUGUGCCUGGCUUAUUUCACUUACAAUGACCUCCAGUUCUAUCAAUGUCACAAAUGACAGGUUUUCCUUCUUUUAAUGGCUGAAUCAUAUUCCAUUGUGUACAUACACCACAUUUUCUUUAUUCAUCAGCUGAAGGACACUUAGGUUGUUUUCAUUUUUUGACUAUUGUGAAUAGUGUUGCAUUGAAUAUGGGAGUGCAGAUGUCUCUUUGACAGAUUGAUUUCAUGUUCCUUUUGAUAUGUACCCAAUAGUGGUUUUGCUGGAUUACGACAUAGUCCUAUUUUUAAUUUUUUGAAGUACCUCCACACUGUUUUGUAUAAUCAUCAUACUAAUUUACAUUCACACUAACAGUGUACAAGAGUUCUAUAUUCUCUACAUCCUCUCCAGCAUCAUAUAUAUAUGUAUGUAUAUAUAUAUAUAUAUAUAUAGUCAAAAAGACAAAUAUAUAUUUGUCGUUUUGACAAUAGCCAUUCUUACUGGGGUGCAGUAAUAGCUCAUUGUGUUUUUAUUUUGCAUGUUUCUAAUGGUAAGUAAUGUUAUUUUCAUGUACCCGUUAGCCAUUUCUAUAUCUUCCUUGGAAAAAUGUCUAUUUUGAUCUAUUUCCUGUUUUAUUGUUGGGUUAUUUUUUUUUUUCAUUUUUGCUAGUGAGUUAUUUUAGCUCCUUAUAUAUUUUGGUUAUUAACCCCACAUCAUAUGCAUAGUUUGCAAAUAUUUACUCCCAUUCUGUAUUUUCUCUCUUUAUUCUGUUGAUUGUUUGCCAUGCAAAUGAUUUUUUGAUUAGUGAAAUGUCACUUGUCGAUUUUUACUUUUGUUUCUUGUAGUUUUGGAGUAUAGAGUAUAAUGCAAAAAAAUUUCUUGCCCAUUCCAAUGUUGUAAAGUAUU